AAGGAUCCUUCUCCUUCUCCUCUUCCUCCCCGAUUCAGCCAGCGGCUUCUCUGUAUGUGAAGCCUGGAGCUGGUCGCCGUCGCCGGGUUCAAGCCAAGUCGCCUCUCGGCCUCCCCGCUUGCUUCAAUCGGCGCCUGCCAGGCCUCGUCGCCGGUCCGUCAUUGGAGGAAAUAAGCCAUCGGGCUCCUCGCUUACUGGUCUUAUCUUGAAAGUCCCUGCAUCUCAUGGGGAAAACACAGCAUAUCCACCUGGUGGUUCGUGACUAUAUAGAGCUGAUCUGCCAGCUUUCAUCCUCAAUUUGUCAGGAGAUGUCACAAUUCAAUUUGUGACAUUUGUGCUUCACUCCCACGAAACCAGGUCAACAAAGCCAUGAGACAAGAGACACAAAAGUUCUGUAUUACAAGCUUUUAAGCCCAAUAAUGGAGAACCAACUUGUUUGUGAAGGACACUGCCUCUGUUCAUAUGGUUAGACUUUGUUUUCUUUUGGGGGGGGGAGUUACAGGGGGAGAAUGUGUAAAACAGAAUUGAUUUGCUGUCCUUAAACCAGCAAGAGACAGAAAUGACCCAGUUUCCCUUGCCUCUCUGCCUGCUCCCAUUCUCCAGUUGUAGGUUGUCUUCGUGACGGCUGGUAUACAUUUUUUAAAAUAGCAUGAAAAGACAAACCAGGCCUAUAUUAAGUUUGACGGCAUUUGCAAACAGAGGAAAGAUAAUUGAUUUGGAGGAACCCCAAGGCGCUAAAGAAGUUGAAAGUCAUGCAAGGAUUCAGAUACAUGUUAUUAUGUUGCUUAAGCACCACAUCAGAGUUAAACUUCAAAUAUGAUGAAUUUCACAGAUUUUACCAAUAUAAAGUGCUUUCAGAUGAGGCUUUUAUCGGACCAUCACUUUCUCCUAAACAGAAUUUUAUGGCAAGAACAUGUGGGAGAGAGAGCCAGAUGCUAUUCACUGGGUAACUACCCACAGUGGGUUGUGUUAUGAGAACCUGGGCCACUGCCCACAGGAUGGCUUGUUUGUGAGUAACAAGCCACAAUAUACCGGCAAUGGGUUGUCAUGUCAUCCAUACCUGGCUGUUCCAGCCAGUGCCCAAGUGGCCUUGAGAACUACCAUCACUGGUUCAUUCUUCUCUGUGCCAAGUCUGCCUCAUUUGCAAUCACCGUGGCUUAUUUCCCACUUUCCCUCAUUUGUUUUGUAAUCACUUUUUGUGAUUUGAAAAUGAAAGCCAUUGACAGUGCUCAAAGUUCCCAAGCUACUCUGUAAAAAAGAAAAAAAAAGGUUCCUGAGAUUUGUGCAACUUUUUGUGUUUGUUUUGAUUUAAUAUGCAGAGUUCAUGGCUGCAUAUGUCCCUCUCAAAACACUCUGAUUAACUUAGCCAAAAACCCCAUUAUAAAAUACACUCUAAGUUUUGACAGCUGUCAAAACUGUCUGUAAACAGGGUGACUAGUACUUUUCCACUUUCCCAAAUCUUGGAAAUGAGUGGAAAGAGUGGCAGUCAUUAAGAGUAGUGAGGUCCAAAACAAAAAAGCUAAAGGAUCUUACUGUGAAGGAGGUGAUCUGUACACCUGCUUCAUGACUUCAGGCCUCGAAGCUUUGCUUCUCACUUGAUUGCACAUCAUUUGACAGCUGUCCUAUGAGAAGCAAAGCAGCAGAUCAAUCUAUUUAUAACCUAGAUUUGUCAAUGUCCAUGGAGGGUGUCUCCUGUACUUUGACAGGAUACAGCUUCUAGUUUGACAGGAGACAUUGUCUUGCUCUUUGAUGAGGAAUAGCUGUGCAUUUGGGAUGGCUGGAGUUGUGGAAAUGCUACCAACUCCUGCAGGGAAAAUACACACACACACAUUUGGCGGGGGGAAAGAAAGGUGGCAAGCCAGCUACUCCAAUGUGCAGCUUGGACAAUUUCGGGAAAAAGGGGAGGGGAUCAAAGGGAUACAAGUCACAGCAACUGUAAAAGGGGCUGUGGUGAGUGUGGAGAGAAAAGGUCCAGCCGCAGAGUAUCCUCAGACAUCUGCAGGAGGACUGAAAGGGAAGGAGUGGGGGGCAACCCACAGUAAGCUCAGACUUCUGUGGUUCAACCCAUAUUGCAUAGGACUUUUUGCAGGGUCGGUUGUCAUGUCCCCACAUGACCAUUAUCUUCCAUUUGCAACCCUCCUGUAUUUUCCCAUGACUCUUUCCGUCUUUUUCCUUACUGAGGAAAAUCCAUUAAAGAUGGAAGUCAUUGGUCCAGUUGUAUCCAUAAAUUUCUACACUCAGGCAUGCUUUAAAAGUGUGGACUGGACCUUAUAUGAAAAACUUGGCUGCCUUUUUAGUGGCAAAGUGGGAUAGCCAUUUAAUUAACUCAUGUCGUGGCAUCUGUAUAAGAAACAAGUUGCAGCCCUAUUUACAUGGGAGUUCGUCUUAUAGAAUUCAAUGGGGUUUGCUUAAGAAUAAUUCAUAGGACUGCACUGUUCAUCUGCCACUGAGUAAAUUCACACUUUGUGGGUGCACGUGUGCUUUGUUCGAAAAGAGGCCUACAACUCGCAGUGUGUCCCACCAAGCCGUGAUUGCGCCUUCCUUUGUUUAGAGCAUUUCUGUUGUAGUAUUUGCUAAAGCAACUUUCAUGACAACAAACAGAAAAUGUUAAAAUAUCUUAUUUUAAGCAAAUGCAUCCACAAAUACCAAAUAAAACACUACUAAGAGGA